rnacentral:rRNA from 1 species
GACGAACGCUGGCGGCGUGCCUAAUACAUGCAAGUAGAACGCACAGUUUAUACCGUAGCUUGCUACACCAUAGACUGUGAGUUGCGAACGGGUGAGUAACGCGUAGGUAACCUGCCUGGUAGCGGGGGAUAACUAUUGGAAACGAUAGCUAAUACCGCAUAAUAUUGAUUAUUGCAUGAUAAUUAAUUGAAAGGUGCAAUUGCACCACUACCAGAUGGACCUGCGUUGUAUUAGCUAGUAGGUGAGGUAACGGCUCACCUAGGCGACGAUACAUAGCCGACCUGAGAGGGUGAUCGGCCACACUGGGACGGAGACACGGCCCAGACUCCUACGGGAGGCAGCAGUAGGGAAUCUUCGGCAAUGGACGAAAGUCUGACCGAGCAACGCCGCGUGAGUGAAGAAGGUUUUCGGAUCGUAAAGCUCUGUUGUAAGAGAAGAACGGGUGUGAGAGUGGAAAGUUCACACUGUGACGGUAUCUUACCAGAAAGGGACGGCUAACUACGUG